GCUCCGGUAGCCUAGCGGAUAGAGUGUCCGCGCCUCGGAUGCAGAAAGUCACGGGUUCGAACUCCGGCCGAGUCA